AUACGGAGGACGCGAGCGUUAUCCGGAUUCAUUGGGUUUAAAGGGUGCGCAGGCGGCCGUGCAAGUCAGCGGUGAAAGCCCGGGGCUCAACCCCGGAAGUGCCGUUGAUACUGCAUGGCUGGAAUGCGGUCGAGGCGGGCGGAACGGGGCGUGUAGCGGGGAAAUGCGUAGAUAUGCCACAGAACGCCGAUAGCGGAGGCAGCUCGCCAGGCCUGCAUUGACGCUCGGGCACGAAAGCGUGGGGAUCGAACAGGAUUAGAUACCCUGGUAGUCCACGCCGUAAACGAUGGGCGCUCGUCGUCAGCGGCAGACAGUCGGCGGCCAAGCGAAAGCGAUAAGCGCCCCACCUGGGGAGUACGGUCGCAAGGCUGAAACUCAAAGGAAUUGGCGGGG
rnacentral:rRNA from 1 species